ACUUAAGCAUAUCAAUAAGCGGAGGAAAAGAAACCAACAGGGAUUGCCCUAGUAACGGCGAGUGAAGCGGCAACAGCUCAAAUUUGAAAUCUGGCCCUCGGGUCCGAAUUGUAAUUUGUAGAGGAUGUUUUUGGUGCGGUAUCUUCCGAGUUCCUUGGAACAGGACGCCUUAGAGGGUGAGAGCCCCGUACGGUUGAAUGCCAAUCCUUUGUAAAACUCCUUCGACGAGUCGAGUAGUUUGGGAAUGCUGCUCUAAAUGGGAGGUAAAUUUCUUCUAAAGCUAAAUACUGGCCAGAGACCGAUAGCGCACAAGUAGAGUGAUCGAAAGAUGAAAAGCACUUUGAAAAGAGGGUUAAAUAGCACGUGAAAUUGUUGAAAGGGAAGGAUUUAUGACCAGACUUUUUCUAGGCGAAUCAUCCGGUGUUCUCACCGGUGCACUUCGUUUAGUUUAGGCCAGCAUCGAUUUUCGGGGCGGGAUAAAAGCUUUAGGAAUGUGGCUCCCUCGGGAGUGUUAUAGCCUAUUGUAUAAUACCGCCCUGGGGAUCGAGGUACGCGCUUCUGCAAGGAUGCUGGCGUAAUGGUUAUCAAUCACCCGUCUUGAAACACGGACCAAGGAGUCGAACAUUUGUGCAAGUGUUUGGGUGUUAAACCCUCACGCGUAAUGAAAGUGAACGGAGGUGAGAGCCCUUACGGGUGCAUCAUCGACCGAUCCUGAUGUCUUCGGAUGGAUUUGAGUAAGAGCAUAACUGUUCGGACCCGAAAGAUGGUGAACUAUGCGUGGAUAGGGUGAAGCCAGAGGAAACUCUGGUGGAGGCUCGCAGCGGUUCUGACGUGCAAAUCGAUCGUCAAAUCUGCGCAUGGGGGCGAAAGACUAAUCGAACCAUCUAGUAGCUGGUUACCGCCGA
rnacentral:rRNA from 1 species